CCCUCUCUCUUCGUUCUUCCUCGAGGAACUCCUCUCUCCCUCUCCUCAGCACCUCCCUCCUCUCUAGAACCUCCACCACAGCAGCAAUAAGCAAGGGAAAAAGGAGAAAAAUGGAUUGAGGAGGAGGGAAGGAUCAAGAUGUGGUGCAUCUUUGGAGUAGACUCGCUCUUCCCCACCUCAAUCCCGCAGCCCUAGGUUUGAGGAACGAGCAAGGUACUCGAGUGACUUUUGCGUGAAGGGGGUGGGAAAUAGCAGCUCACGUCACUCUCACACCUUUGUCCAGUUUAACUUAUGUUGUAAUAUAAGAAGUGCUAGAAUUUAAUUAGACUUGUGGAUCAUGUUAGUUGUUCCUAGACUCUGGUACUGUUUCCUACUCUAGGAUGUUUUAUCUCGCUAUUGUGCUUGUUUAAUCAUAUAUCAUGUUAUGGUGUUUGCUUCCGCUUGAACUCAAAACAAGAGAGAUGCUGUCAAAAAUUCUUCUUGGCUUGAUAUAUGUUAUUUUGGUGGCA